rnacentral:sRNA from 2 species
CAGUACAAAAGAAAGAGAACAGAGCAGAAUAAAGGUAAAGCUUUAAGAUUAAGAUAUGAUUGUGCUGCAUAUAAUAAUAUUUCUCUCUGUUUGUGUGAUAAGAUAGUACUAUGACCACUAGGUUUUACAUAGCAAAAAGCCAACAUAACCAUUUGUUAAAUGGUUGCGCUCAUAGUGAUAUAGAUACCCGUGGGUGUGGUGGUGUGGCCCGCCAGCCGCAGCCAGCUGGGGAACCACAUUUAAAAAGUCAGUGUUGGCAGGAGUUUCGUUCCAUUGAUUAAUUAGAAUUGGAUCAAAUAGAUUAUAUAAAUUACACUAAAAUAUAUCAAUACAGUCAAUCUCUUAGAUAGUUCAGUAGUUUUUAUGUAUUUAAUACACUAAGAUACACACUAAAAAAUUACACUGAUUGUGCCUCACCCUCAGAUGAGG